GGGCCACAGGGGAAGUCUGGUGAUGCUGGGCAGCGUGGUCUGAGAGGAGAAACUGGACAACCAGGACCUCUAGGACCACAGGGGGAGAAGGGUCUCCAAGGCGUUGCAGGCCGUGCAGGAAAUGCUGGAGCUCCUGGUCCUCCUGGACAAGCAGGCUCUCCUGGUACCGUCGGGGUGAAAGGGGACAAGGGGGAAGUUGGUGUUGGUGUAUCUGGUCCCAGAGGAGAGAAAGGAAAUCCAGGACCCAAAGGCGAGGAGGGUCGUGCUGGACUGAAAGGGGAGAAAGGGCCAACAG